rnacentral:lncRNA from 1 species
GUAAACCAUUAUAGGUCAAUGUACGGCCUUCAACACGAAGCCUUGUCUCACACCGAACAACAAGCUAUAAAGGGCCCCAAAAUUACUAGUGUAAAACCAUUCAAACGGGAAAACCAACGGUCUAAUCUAUAUAAAAUAAAAAAAACGAGAAACGAGAAACACGUAUAAAUUACAUAAACAAACGACAACUACUGUACAUCAGAUUCCUGAUUUAGGACAGGUGCAAACAUUUGCAGCGGAAUUAAACGUUUUAAUGGAUCCAAACCUUCUCCCUUUUUCUGAAACAAUAGCAUAACAUCACAACAUAGAAAAACACACGAUAAAAUAUCAAUUGGCAGGCUUGAACUCAAUCAAACUAGAGGCUCUAAAGAGCCUGUGUCGCUCACCUUGGUCUAUGUGAAUAUUAAACAAUGGACACAGAUGGAUUCAUGACAAAAUUGUGUUUUGGUGAUGGUGAUGUGUUUGUAGAUCUUACUUUACUGAACAUUCUUGCUGCUUACAAUUAUCUCUAUCUAUAACAGUACUUUCUGUGGAAAAUGUUAUUGAAAAUCUUCAAAUUUUAAGAAAAUUGUUAAAAAUUGACUAUGAAGGGCAAUAACUCCUUAGGGGUCAAUUGACUAUUUUGGUCAUACUGACUUAUUUUUAGUUCUUACUUUGCUGUACAUUAUUGCUGUUUACAGUUUAUCUCUAUCUAUAAUGAUAUUCAAGAUAAUAACAAAAAAACAGCAAAAUUUCCUCAAAAUUACCAAUUCAGGGGCAGCAACCUAACAACCGAUUAUCCGAUUCAUCUGAAAAUUCCAGGGCAGAUAGAUCGUGACCUGAUCAACAAUUUUACUUCCUGUCAGAUUUGCUCUUAAUGCUUUGGUUUUUGAGCUAUAAGCCUAAAACUGCAUUUUACCCCCAUGUUCUAUUUUUAGCCAUGGCGGCCAUCUUGGUUUGUUGGCCGCGUUACCGGACACAUUUUUUUUAACUAGAUAUCCCAAUGAUGAUUAUGGCUAAGUUUGGUUAAAUUUGGCC